CGUCCAUGUGAGCAUGGAGACCAAAAACACUAGAACAGACAUCAUACGGUUGCCCCGGCAACUGCGGGGGAUUCAAACAGCAGGGAUGGGAACUGAGAGGCAGGCAGGGAGCAGCCUUGCCUGGGCUUUAGGACCAGGGCUUCCGCGUGAGCCUCCCAGAAGCAACAGGUGCUCCAUGAAGGUGGCGGCUGCGGGUAGGGAGGAAAGCCAGGAAGUUAGGGGCUCAGAGGCCCCACGACCUCAGAUGCCAUGAAAGCAUUCUCCCCUUCUGCACCAUCCGGUGAGAAAACUGAGGCUCGGCGGAAUUAAAUGGCUUAUCUGAUAAGUGGCAGUGUCAAGAUGGACGUUCCAUGAGGACUUUAGUGCAAAUUCUCCAAUGUCAUCCUUCACCAGGAACGA